rnacentral:rRNA from 1 species
UACGUAGGGAGCAAGCGUUGUCCGGAAUCAUUGGGCGUAAAGCGCGCGUAGGCGGCCUCAUAAGUCCGUUGUGAAAGUCAAAGGCUCAACCUUUGAAAGCCGAUGGAUACUGUGAGGCUAGAGUCCGGAAGAGGUGAGUGGAAUUCCUGGUGUAGCGGUGGAAUGCGCAGAUAUCAGGAGGAACACCAAUAGCGAAGGCAGCUCGCUGGGACGGUACUGACGCUAAGGCGCGAAAGCGUGGGGAGCGAACAGG